GCUACUCUUCAACUCGGAGGAUUUUUCGGUGGUUGUAAACGAUGACAACAGCGUCGAUGAAGGUCGUUGGUGAUUUAAAUGGGAUUCGUGCUUGAUUUGUUUAGAAAAAACAUCUUUACGGUUGAAUCCAGCAGGUGUGUGACAGAUGUUCAGACAAUUGACAAAGCAUUUGGUGACCAGUCUGUUUUUACAAUAACAUGGAAGUGAUUUACCUGAUGUCUUGCGGAUAAUGGUAGAAAUCCUGACAUAAUGGAUAUCAUGAUUUGCUGUAUAUGUCACCAUGCAGUUGAAGACAACCAAGGCUCUAAACUUACAGUAAAAGGAUGCAGUGGAAUAAAUGAUGCUAGCUUGAAGAGACAGGAUAAUGUUCAGGCUGUUCCAGGAAAUUUUGUUCACAUUGCAUGUCAAAAGACGUACACAAAUGCUAAUGUUAUUGUUCGCGAUACAAAAGAAAACCUUAGUCCAAACACCAGAUUUGUGAGGUCUAAAGCUGAUGUAUUGAAUUUUCAAGAACAUUGUAUAUUUUGUGGUCAUUCUGCUAAAUACAAUGACAGAAAACGCGGUUUGGAUGUUUUUCCAGUAAGGACAUUAAAGUUUCAAAAAACUAUAACAGAGUUGUGUUCAGCUAGAGGAGAUGAUUGGGCUGAUAAAUUGUUAAUAUGCCUUAUAUGAACAACGAU